GUCUACGGCCAUGCCACCCUGAACAAGCCCAAUCCCAUAUGAUCUCGGAAGCUAAGCAGGGUCAGGCCUGGUUAGUAUUUGGAUGAGACCGGGUGCUGUAAGCA
rnacentral:rRNA from 1 species